UAGUCAUAUGCUUGUCUCAAAGAUUAAGCCAUGCAUGUCUAAGUACAUACCUUUGCACGGUGAAACCGCGAAUGGCUCAUUAAAUCAGUUAUGGUUCCUUAGAUCGUUCAUAUUACAUGGAUAACUGUGGUAAUUCUAGAGCUAAUACAUGCAAAAAGCUCCGACCGUAUGGGAAGAGCGCUUUUAUUAGACCAAAACCAAUGGGGUCGCAAGAUCCCUUUGUUAGGUGACUCUGGAUAACUUUGUGCUGAUCGCAUGGCCUCGAGCCGGCGACGUAUCUUUCAAGUGUCUGCCCUAUCAACUUUCGAUGGUAAGCGACUUGCCUACCAUGGUUGUAACGGGUAACGGGGAAUCAGGGUUCGAUUCCGGAGAGGGAGCAUGAGAAAUGGCUACCACAUCUACGGAAGGCAGCAGGCGCGCAAAUUACCCACUCCUAGAUCGGGGAGGUAGUGACGAAAAAUAACAAUACCGGACUCUAUGAGGCUCGGUAAUUGAAAUGAGUACAGUUUAAAACCCUUAACGAGGAUCUAUU
rnacentral:rRNA from 1 species